GGCAACAUGGCCGAGUGUUAAGGCAGAGCACUGCAAAUCCUUUAUUCCCCAGUUCAAAUUCGGGAGUCGCCU
rnacentral:tRNA from 1 species